CUCGGGAAAGAAGGAGCUCGCUGGGGUAUGUUCCUCACCCAAGAAAACAAGGGAGAGUGUCUGCAGUGAGGUGGAAAACAGACUCCUCCACACAGUUUAGGUUUUGAAGCCAACUGGAGAGGGCAAAGCCCCAUGGAAAUGACCCAUUUAUAAACAAACACACAUCAGAGAAUGGUAUUCCCAGGGCUGGAGCCUGGGAAAAUAGAAGACACUGAUUUAAGGGUAUUUCAUAAUGGGAAAUCUCAAGUAAAAUAAUAGCAACAUUUGAAGAACAAUUACCCUUGUCUGCCUUAGUACUGGACCCUGGAAACUCACAUGCUAGCAAAUGAUAAACAAGAUGCACAACCAAAUAAAACUCUUGGAACAAACAGCA